rnacentral:rRNA from 1 species
GGGUUGUGAGGUUAAGCGACUAAGCGUACACGGUGGAUGCCCUGGCAGUCAGAGGCGAUGAAGGACGUGCUAAUCUGCGAUAAGCGUCGGUAAGGUGAUAUGAACCGUUAUAACCGGCGAUUUCCGAAUGGGGAAACCCAGUGUGACUCGUCACACUAUCAUUAACUGAAUCCAUAGGUUAAUGAGGCGAACCGGGGGAACUGAAACAUCUAAGUACCCCGAGGAAAAGAAAUCAACCGAGAUUCCCCCAGUAGCGGCGAGCGAACGGGGAGCAGCCCAGAGCCUGAAUCAGUGUGUGUGUUAGUGGAAGCGUCUGGAAAGGCGUGCGAUACAGGGUGACAGCCCCGUACACAAAAAUGCACAUGCUGUGAGCUCGAUGAGUAGGGCGGGACACGUGGUAUCCUGUCUGAAUAUGGGGGGACCAUCCUCCAAGGCUAAAUACUCCUGACUGACCGAUAGUGAACCAGUACCGUGAGGGAAAGGCGAAAAGAACCCCGGCGAGGGGAGUGAAAAAGAACCUGAAACCGUGUACGUACAAGCAGUGGGAGCCUCUUUAUGGGGUGACUGCGUACCUUUUGUAUAAUGGGUCAGCGACUUAUAUUCUGUAGCAAGGUUAACCGAAUAGGGGAGCCGAAGGGAAACCGAGUCUUAACUGGGCGUUAAGUUGC